GAUGAAGAACGCAGCGAAAUGCGAUACUUGGUGUGAAUUGCAGAAUCCCGUGAACCAUCGAGUCUUUGAACGCAAGUUGCGCCCGAAGCCACUAGGCCGAGGGCACGCCUGCCUGGGCGUCACACGCCGUUGCCCCCCCAUCUACUCCUUCGGGAUUGCGGGGGGGCGGAUGAUGGCCUCCCGUGCGCCUAGCCGCGCGGUUGGCAUAAAUACCAAGUCCUCGGCGACGCACGCCACGACAAUCGGUGGUUGCGAAACCUCGGUUGCCCGUCGUGUGCGUUCGUCGCGCAUCGAGGGCUCGAAAAAAUGCUCGGCUCCGGCUGGGCUUUCAACGCGACCCCAGGUCAGGCGGGGUUACCCGCUGAAUUUAAGCAUAUCAAUAGCGGAGGA
rnacentral:misc_RNA from 1 species